rnacentral:rRNA from 1 species
UACGUAGGGAGCAAGCGUUGUCCGGAAUCAUUGGGCGUAAAGCGCGCGUAGGCGGCCCUGUAAGUCCGUUGUGAAAGUCAAAGGCUCAACCUUUGAAAGCCGAUGGAUACUGCAGGGCUGGAGUCCGGAAGAGGCGAGUGGAAUUCCUGGUGUAGCGGUGGAAUGCGCAGAUAUCAGGAGGAACACCGAUAGCGAAGGCAGCUCGCUGGGACGGUACUGACGCUAAGGCGCGAAAGCGUGGGGAGCGAACAGG